GCCUGUUGUGUUUGGCCUACUCAGGGAUUUCUAUUCUAUUCUUUAAAGAACUUAUCUUUUACAGGUAUUUUUAUCUGAUUUGAAAAAAUUUCCAAUAUGUGAGUUACAAAGUGGUGUUUGUUAUCAAGAAAGAUUGCUCCAUCAGAGGGUAGCAGUGUGCACACUGUACUGCACAGGCAUCUCAUUUGUAAGUGCACAGAUUUGUAAAAGAAAUGUGUGCAUUUUUCUCUUUUUAAAGACUACACAAGUAUGUGUGUCCUUUCCAUGGUAGUAACUUAAAAGUGUUUGUGAAUAUUUUAGUAAGCCUCAAAAUCUUAAAAAAAAAAAAAGUUAAAAUGGGGAAAAAAUGUAUUUAUAUGUCAGUGCCAACUUUGAAGGUAGAGCAGUAGUGACCUUUAUGGUAAAUUCUAAAAAGUCCUUUACAUGAAGUAUACAUGUUGUGACUUUUUACCCACGACUUGUCCUUAUGUGUUACCUUAGUAAAUGUAUGUAUGUUCCUGAAGAAAAUCAAACCCAUAUAAAAUUAAAAUUAUAAGGUACAAACUCUAUUGCUUACCUACCCCUUGUUUUUCUAGGGGUGACUACCAAUGGUCUGAUACCUGUCCUUCCAAAAGCUUUCUUCAAGUGUACAAAUACGUGUGUGUCUGUAUGUGUGCAUGUAUGUACCUUUGUGUGUUAGUUUUCUACAAAUAGAAUAUCCUUUGCUGUGACUCUUUUUCAUGUUUUUAAAUAUUAGAAAAAUACCUUGCCAUAAGUUUUUACAUCCAUUUGAAAACGACUGCCUAACUGUAGAGCUGCGUUUUAAUUGACUUGGUCUUCUGUUGAAUGGGAAGUAAGAUAGUUUUCACUUAUCACAAACUAAGCGUUUUAUUCAUCCAUAUAUUUUGCCACCUACUAUGAUCAUUUCCAUGGGAUUUUGAAUUUUAUUUUUUACUAAGUAUUUGUAAUAAAGAUUCUUAAUGCAUAGUUGGGCAAUGAGAUCAUGGAAAUAAUAUAUUUGAGAUCCUAUUUGUGAAUAAACAGUGUAGAGAGUGUCUAAUUUUAAAGCAAAUUGUCUUUUGAAAGACUUAGUCCUUGAUAGGUUAGCCAAAUACCUUGCCAAAGUUUAAAAGAGAAAAUUGAUCUGUUUCCAAUGAAGCUAAAAUGUGAUCAGCUGUCUUCGACAGUGUGAAAGAAGAUGAGUUGGUUCUUAGAUCACUUGCUUUUAACUUCAGUACUCAUGCCAAAUGGAUGGUGUAUGUCACAUUUUCUAAAACAAUCACCAUGUCCGUGUGUGUCAUUUAUAGAAGGGAAAGGAAAGGGAUCAAACCCUAUGACACAAGCAACAUUCUCUUUACACAUUUAUGGUCUAGUAGUCAGCCACUUACGGUCUCCUACAAGAACAGACAGAAAAACAGUCAAAGAUAGUUAAACAGCAGACAUGUUACAGUGUGGUAUCUUUUUCUGCUGUGUGAUCAAGAUUGAUUGGUACCUCUUGGGAAAUGCUCAACUCUGUGGCAUUAUCUCUUAAGUCCCAAGACCCUAUUUGAGUUUAUCUUUACAUUUCACUAUCCAGAUAUGUGACCCAGCAUUCUCACAAAAUACACCCCUGUGGUCAUUGUCUGUCUCUUACAUUAGUUCCAACCACAUUUUGUCUAUACCUCUACUAUUUUCACCCUCAGAGAAGAUUAAAUAGAAGCAGGUGGGGGAGAAAAGCUCACCCUGAUCUGUGUAGCCUCAGUGUUUUUUCUUUCUUUUCUCAGAUUUCAGUGUAUCUGCCAACACCUCCCCUACUGAACACAUGAAACUGUUUUAACAUCAGACUUUUAUGAUGCUUGUUGUUACUGAUUAUAAAAAAAUCAGUGGCCUACAUAACAUUUGGUGGCAUCUGAAAUUGAUCCAGAGUGCCCGGAACAUUUUUCCUGAUUCUUGAUAGGAGUCUUAAAAUGCCAAACAGGAAUAGUUGUGGUAUGAAUCUGUUGCAAAUGCAUAUUCAGAAAUUGAUGUUCUAAUGAAUAAUUACCAUCUACUUAAUAUGAAACUGUAUCCCAUUUUAAUUCUGGUCUCAAUAAUAAUAGUAAGUGAUGAUUAAUUUCUUCAUCUUAAGGUGAGUAGUUUGCAUUACUGAGUUGUACCAGGUCUUGUCACUUUCCUUUUAUUGCACAGUUUAAAAUUUUCUGUAAACUCUGUGGCUCCUUUCCAAAUAAUAUGCCAUAAUGUUUUUCACAUUGAAAAUGAACCUUGUUGAAAAUGUUAGAUUUUUAAUUUUUUUUAACUGUUUCUGCAUUUCAGUAGUUGCACUGCUAACUUACGAUCUUCAUAAAGAGCAUGGAAGAAGCCAUUCUGAAUAUAUUUUUAGGAAGUAGGCACGUAGAAAUAACAAAAUAGAUAUCAAUGACACCUUUAAUUCAUCCCUGAAAAGCAACUGGAAAGGAAAAAACAAAUUCUACCAAAAUUAAAAAGUUGAAAAACAAGGGUAUCAGAAAGACCUGUUUUCUUAUACUGUUGAAGCAAUCAACU
rnacentral:lncRNA from 1 species